GGGCCCAUAGCUCAGUCGGUUAGAGCGUCUGACUCAUAAUCAGGUGGUCGUAGGUUCGAGUCCUACUGGGCCCA
rnacentral:tRNA from 2 species